GGAGUGAGUGACCUCUCGUGCUAUGUUUCCUAUCGGAAUCAACUGAACCCACUGACAAGUUCACAAUUUGGUCAUUCUUCUUCAAAAAUGAAGCAUGCAAACUACUGUGCUCAAGUUGAUCACUCGAACUAAUUUCUUGGGAGCUCUCUUUUUCUAAGCUCUGAUGGAUACCAUUUCGGGCGUCGGCUUUGGCUUCCAAUAAAAUUUCUUCACUUUCAUGCUUCCCUAUCUCUGUCAAACAUGAAUGGUUCAAAGUUGUUGAGCCAGAAGUCUUAUCCGUAACAGUGGUUUUAAAGCCCGGGGGCACAAGCGGUCUAGAUGGAAGAUUCAGCAAAGAGGAAGAUGAUUUUCCAGAAUCAUUGUUUGCGAUAGGCUGGCUGGCCAUUAUAUCUACUUUAGUAUUCUUGUCUAGAAGCCCCCGAUCCUUCUUAUCAUCUUCCAGCAGUACCGAGAUUUCUGAAUCAAAUACAGCUGUGUGCUUCUCUACAUUUGGUUUCUGCUUCUCUUGAAGAGCCUUCUGCUGUUCCUUCCUCAUCAACUCAAAAGAAGCUCUUCUUUUCCUUUCCUCCUCCACUCUGUCCUCACUUGCACACUCAAUUGAACCAAAGGUCUCAUCAUUGCAUGCAUCAGUGUUUCUACGAGAAUGAGGUACUGCCUUAUAGGGGCGAGGAGGAUGGUAUGGUUCAUUGCUCCUGUUAAGUAGAUAAUUAUCACUUGCACGGACCUUAGUUGCAGUCCCUGAUGCAUACGCAGAUGGCCUGGGAAAUGAACCACUUCCAAGAAGCCCAUCA
rnacentral:misc_RNA from 1 species